AAGACGCAUUUGCGAGUGGAUUAAGGAGAAAUCAUCUUUUGAAAUAUUUACCUUUUGUCAAAUUUAUCAUGAUCGAAAAGGCGUCAAACCUUCACGAAGUAGUGGAAAAUAACGACGAAUUGUGUUCAUCUCUUCAUAGGGCUAUCAUUUCUAUUUUCACCAAGACACUACAGAGUUUAGGAACAACAGUGUUUGCCAUCGAUGACAUCCAUUUUGCCGAUUCCUAUUCGUGGGACCUCUUGGCAGAUCUCCAAAAACAACGUGCCAUCUUUGUUGUCACCAUAAAACCUCCACAGAUGGGACAAAAUCUUCCAAAUG